CCACCUGGAAGACGUUGCUCUUGUGGCCGCUGUCGAACUGCAGCACGGGCCGGCGCCGCAGCCAGUCCCACACCAGCACCUUGAGGUCGUCGCUGCCGCUGGCCAGGCGGGUGCCGCGCUGGUUGAAGUGCAGCGUGUUGACGCAGCCCGUGUGCCCCUCCAGGCCGUGCUGCAGCCGCAACUUCUGCACGAAGAGCCGGGCGCCGCAGGCCUGCGCCACGAAGCGCGGGCAGCCGCCCAGCUGGCGCUGCCGCAGCGCCGGGAUCGCCCGCCAGCGCGGCCGCGGCAGCGCCCACGUCUCCGAGGCCACCUGCGGGGACAGCGGCUGUUGGCACCGGGAGCGCCCCGCCGCCGCCACACGGGGUGGGCAGGGGUCUGUCACACGGCGGGCAGGGGUCUGUCACACGGACAGGGGUCUGUCACACGGUGGGCAGGGGUCUGUCACACGGCGGGCAGGGGUCUGUCACACGGCGGGCAGGGGUCUGUCACACGGCGGGCAGGGGUUUGUCACACAGAUAGGACUGUCACACGGACAGGGGUCUGUCACAAGGCGGGCAGGGGUCUGUCACACGGCGGGCAGGGGUCUGUCACAUGGUGGGCAGGGGUUUGUCACACGGCGGGCAGGGGUUUGUCACACGGCGGGCAGGGGUCUGUCACACGGCGGGCAGGGGUUUGUCACACGGCGGGCAGGGGUUUGUCACACGGCGGGCAGGGGUCUGUCACACGGCGGGCAGGGGUUUGUCACACGGCGGGCAGGGGUCUGUCACACGGCGGGCAGGGGUUUGUCACAUGGCGGGCAGGGGUUUGUCACACGGAUAGGACUGUCACUGGACAGGGCUCUGUCACCUGUUACAGGUGAUGGACAGGGCUCUGUCACCUGGACAGGGGUCUGUCACACAGAUAGGACUGUCACCCGGACAGGGGUCUGUCACUGGACAGGACUGUCACCCGGACAGGGGUCUGUCACUGGACAGGACUGUCACACGGACAGGGGUCUGUCACCUGCUACAGGUAAUGGACAGGGGUCUGUCACACAGACAGGGGUCUGUCACUGGACAGGACUGUCACAUGGACAGGGCUCUGUCACACGGACAGGACUGUCACACGGACAGGGGUCUGUCACCUGGGCAGGGGUCUGUCACUGGACAGGGGUCUGUCACACGGGCAGGGGUCUGUCACACGGGCAGGGGUCUGUCACACAGAUAGGACUGUCACACGGACAGGGCUCUGUCACAUGGACAGGGGUCUGUCACAUGGACAGGACUGUCACAUGGACAGGGGCCUGUCACCUGGACAGGGUCUGUAACCUGGGCAGGGGUCUGUCACCUGCUACAGGUAAUGGACAGGGGUCUGUCCAUGGACAGGGCUCUGUCACACAGAUAGGACUGUCACACGGGCAGGGGUCUGUCACUGGGCAGGACUGUCACACAGACAGGGGUCUGUCACCUGGGCAGGGGUCUGUCACACAGACAGGGGUCUGUC
rnacentral:lncRNA from 1 species